UACGAAGGGGGCUAGCGUUGUUCGGAAUUACUGGGCGUAAAGCGCACGUAGGCGGAUCGUUAAGUCGGGGGUGAAAUCUGGAGCUCAACUCCAGAACUGCCUCCGAUACUGCGAGUCUCCGAGUCCGGGAGAGGUGAGUGGAACUGCGAGUGUAGAGGUGAAAUUCGUAGAUAUUCGCAAGAACACCAGUGGCGAAGGCGGCUCACUGGCCCGGUACUGACGCUGAGGUGCGAAAGCGUGGGGAGCAAACAGG
rnacentral:rRNA from 1 species